rnacentral:rRNA from 1 species
UACGAAGGGGGCUAGCGUUGCUCGGAAUUACUGGGCGUAAAGCGUGCGUAGACGGUUAUUUAAGUCAGGUGUGAAAGCCCCGGGCUCAACCUGGGAAUUGCAUUUGAGACUGAAUAGCUAGGGUGCGGAAGAGGGAAGCGGAAUUUCCGGUGUAGCGGUGAAAUGCGUAGAUAUCGGAAGGAACACCAGUGGCGAAAGCGGCUUCCUGGUCCAGCACCGACGUUCAGGCACGAAAGCGUGGGGAGCAAACAGG